UUGAACGCUGGCGGCAGGCCUAACACAUGCAAGUCGAACGGUAACAGGAAGAAGCUUGCUUCUUUGCUGACGAGUGGCGGACGGGUGAGUAAUGUCUGGGAAACUGCCUGAUGGAGGGGGAUAACUACUGGAAACGGUAGCUGAUACCGCAUAACGUCGCAAGACCAAAAAGGGGGACCUUCGGGCCUCUUGCCAUCGGAUGUGCCCAGAUGGGAUUAGCUAGUAGGUGGGGUAACGGCUCACCUAGGCGACGAUCCCUAGCUGGUCUGAGAGGAUGACCAGCCACACUGGAACUGAGACACGGUCCAGACUCCUACGGGAGGCAGCAGUGGGGAAUAUUGCACAAUGGGCGCAAGCCUGAUGCAGCCAUGCCGCGUGUAUGAAGAAGGCCUUCGGGUUGUAAAGUACUUUCAGCGGGGAGGAAGGGAGUAAAGUUAAUACCUUUGCUCAUUGACGUUACCCGCAGAAGAAGCACCGGCUAACUCCGUG
rnacentral:rRNA from 1 species